UCCCCGUUACCGGGGCAGUCUGGCUAGAGAAAUUCAACUAACCAUAAGGGUUGCGCUCGUUAAUGGACUUAACCAAACAUCUCACGACACGAGCUGACGACGGCCAUGCAACACCUGUCACUAGAUUCCCGAAGGCACUUUCUCCUUUCGGAGAAAUUCCUAGGAUGUCAAACCUUGGUAAGGUUCUACGUUUAUCGUCGAAUUAAACAACACGCUCCACCGCUUGUGCGGGUCCCCGUCAAUUCCUUUGAGUUUUAAUCUUGCGACCGUACUCCCCAGGCGGGAUGCUUAACGCGUUAGCUUCGCUACUAGAAGGGUCGAUACUUCUAACAGCUAGCAUCCAUCGUUUACAGCGUGGACUAC
rnacentral:misc_RNA from 1 species